UGUGUUUGAUAUGUAGUGUAGAAUAUUUUUUAUUGAUCUCAUAUUUUACUCAGGUUUACCAUUAUCAGCAAUGCACAUUUUAAUUUUGAUUUUUUUUCUCCAUUAUAUAAAAUACAUACAAGACUUUAAUGUCGGCAUAUCUAACAAAUAUUGUUACAGAGUUUUUGAACUAAGUCAGAUGGUUCAAAGUAAAUAGCUUAUUUUUGUCAAAUUACUUAUCUAAACAUUAUCUGUAAAACAUGCGGAGUAACAAUGUCACAAAAAUGUAUAAUUAUGUAAUUGAUUAAUCCGAAGACCUAAGAAAUUUACAUAUGGGUGCUUCAAUGUUUGUAAUUGUUAUUACGGUGUCUUUUUAUCUUUUUACCUGGUGUCAAAAACAAGAUGCGCUCAGGUGUCAACAGAUUUUUCUUUGUCAAGGGAUUAUCUACGUUAACUCAAUUAUUUCUUUAUGGCCAGUGUCCGUCGAUAAGGUCACGUGGGUUAAUUUUUUAAUUACCAAAAUUGUUCCGAACAAAGAAUCUAAUUUUUGAUUGGUCGAAAUAGAUCAGGGAAGCCCAGGUCUCCGAUUGAGAUAGCGUGCCCUACCUCGGGCAUUCUAAUCGGAGACCUGCAUCAAUAAAGUUGUUCAGUUAAUUAAUCAAGGCUUCCCUGUAUCUGAUUUCAGGUAAAUUAUGGUUUACGUUCAUUUUUGUUAAAUUCAUUCAUGCAAAGUUCAAAUAUUUUUCAUUUUCUUUAUUUUAAUGAAAUAUAAAGUAUUUCUUAUUAUUUUUAAUGUUUAAAUGCACUUUUAAGAAAUUUGAGCUUUCAUCAGAGUUAAAGUUUUUAUUUGACUUUGUUUAUUUUCAUUAAGCCAGUUUUGAUAUUUUUCUACUUUUAAAUGUUAAGUUAGUUGAAAAAGGUUUUUGGCUUGAUUAUUCAUUUUGUUGAUUAGUUAAAUUUAUUUUUAACAAGUUUCAUAACUGACACCAGGCGCGUUUUUAUAUUCUCUUUAUAAAACCGGAAAUGGUUAUUCCGUUUUGGUUUUUCAUAUUACUAUUUCUUUAAACACUGCCGCGUGAAACGUCUACAUCAGUCGCUAGUCCCAAACCUUUUGGACCGGAUUUAGUGACUAAGGGUCCUCCACUGCCAAGCGAGUUGCUAUUCCCCGUACUUAUAGUGUCGCAAAGUCAUAACAUCAAUAACAUCUUAAACACGACGCGACAAUACCUU